GAAUGAUAAUCUGAAAUUUAUUUGAAAUUAAUUGAGUAUUGAAAUGACUUAUUUACCCUUGUGAGGGUGUAGGUGUGAAUAAUAAGCCAUGAGGGCAUUUUGGUCAUUUGACCCCUAUUUACUAUGUUUGAUUAAAAUUGAUUUUUGAUGAAAUGAAAAGCAAUUUUCUGGUUUUGCUUUCCUCUUGGCCGACCCCCUCUCUCUCCCAAACCCUCUUGUUAUUUCAAGUUGAAUUUGAAGAAAAUUGGUGUGAAUUGGAGCUAAUUUUUGGAGCUUGAUUGUGGGGAUUAUUCUUGCUUAGUCUUGAGGAAAGGGUAAGGCAUUAGCUGAUCAGCCAUGAGUUUCAGGAGCAGGGCGAAGAAUGUACAUGUUCAUGCCACUUCAGACCAAGCGGGUUAUGGGUCUAACAGUGUUGACUUUUGUAUUCUGUUUUGCCGCUUAGGUCGGCUAGUAAGAAAGAACUUGUAAUAAGUUUGUAAAUAUUUUUGGGAUCCCAACUAUUUUGAAAAGUUUAAAUAUAUUACAAGUUUAUUUUCAGUC